rnacentral:tRNA from 1 species
GCCUCCAUAGUUAAAUGGAUAUAACCGUCCCCUCCUAAGGGACAAUUACAGGUUCGAUUCCUGUUGGGGGUACCA